GGGAUUUACCAAACAAGCGACAUUGCCCUCCAAGAACUUACCCAUGAUCGGAUUACCUCCGCAUGCUAUACGUUGAACAAGGCUGGCUUUAGAUAGGUGCUGCUCACCCCCUUUCCAGUGAUACUUAACCAUCUCAUUGGGGGAUGCUUCUCAAUUGAGAUCAGAUAUAUUUAAAGCAAGCUCAGCAAUACGAUUGAUCG
rnacentral:lncRNA from 1 species